rnacentral:rRNA from 1 species
UUGAUCCUGGCUCAGGAUGAACGCUAGCGGCAGGCUUAACACAUGCAAGUCGAGGGGCAGCGCGGGGCGGCAACGUCCUGGCGGCGACCGGCGGAAGGGUGCGUAACGCGUGAGCGACAUGCCCGUUGCCCGGGGACAACCGGUGGAAACGCCGACUAAUCCCCGAUGGGACGGAGGCCCUCAUGGGUCUCUGUUGAAAGUUACGGCGGCGACGGAUUGGCUCGCGUCCGAUUAGCUUGUUGGCGGGGUAACGGCCCACCAAGGCUACGAUCGGUAGGGGUUCUGAGAGGAAGGUCCCCCACAAUGGAACUGAGACACGGUCCAUACUCCUACGGGAGGCAGCAGUGAGGAAUAUUGGUCAAUGGGCGGAAGCCUGAACCAGCCAUGCCGCGUGCGGGAAGGAGGCCCUAUGGGCUGUGAACCGCUUUUGCCUGGGGGCAAUAAGGGCGUCGUGCACGUCCGAUGAGAGUACCAGGCGAAUAAGCAUCGGCUAACUCCGUGCCAGCAGCCGCGGUAAUACGGGGGAUGCGAGCGUUAUCCGGAUUCAUUGGGUUUAAAGGGUGCGUAGGCUGUGCGUCAAGUCAGGGGUGAAAUUCCGGGGCUCAACUCCGGGGCUGCCCUUGAUACUGUCGCGCUGGAGUGCGGAUGCCGCCGGAGGAAUGAGUGGUGUAGCGGUGAAAUGCUUAGAUAUCACUCAGAACACCGAUUGCGAAGGCAUCUGGCGAAUCCGUAACUGACGCUGAGGCACGAAAGCGUGGGGAUAGAACAGGAUUAGAUACCCUGGUAUUCCACGCCGUAAACGAUGAUGGCUAACCGCCGGCGACACACUGUCGGUGGCCAAGCGAAAGCGAUAAGCCAUCCACCUGGGGAGUACGUCGGCAACG